rnacentral:rRNA from 1 species
GAUGAACGCUGGCGGCGUGCCUAAUACAUGCAAGUCGAGCGAACAGACGAGGAGCUUGCUCCUCUGACGUUAGCGGCGGACGGGUGAGUAACACGUGGAUAACCUACCUAUAAGACUGGGAUAACUUCGGGAAACCGGAGCAAAUACCGGAUAACAGGUGGAACCGCAGGGUUUAACAUUGAAAGAGGGUCUUGCGGUCCCUUAUAGAGGGAUCCGCGCCGCAUUAGCUAGUUGGUAAGGUAACGGCUUACCAAGGCAACGAUGCGUAGCCGACCUGAGAGGGUGAUCGGCCACACUGGAACUGAGACACGGUCCAGACUCCUACGGGAGGCAGCAGUAGGGAAUCUUCCGCAAUGGGCGAAAGCCUGACGGAGCAACGCCGCGUGAGUGAAGAAGGUCUUCGGAUCGUAAAACUCUGUUAUUAGGGAAGAACAAAUGUGUAAGUAACUAUGCACGUCUUGACGGUACCUAAUCAGAAAGCCACGGCUAACUACGUG